rnacentral:rRNA from 1 species
GACGUAGGGCGCGAGCGUUGUCCGGAUUUAUUGGGCGUAAAGAGCUCGUAGGCGGCUCGUUGCGUCGGCUGUGAAAACCCGCAGCUCAACUGUGGGCUUGCAGCUGAUACGGGCGGGCUGGGAUUCGGUAGGGGAGACUGGAAUUCCUGGUGUAGCGGUGAAAUGCGCAGAUAUCGGGAGGAACACCGGUGGCGAAGGCGGUUCUCUGGGCCUUACCUGACGCUGAGGCGCGAAAGCGUGGGGAGCGAACAGG